CACCUCCUGUUUCCUUUCCUAUGAGAUCUUGAUAUUGAUUCUGAUGAUUGUAAAGGAGAAAAAAAUGCACUGAAUUAGGCCUCAUAGCUAUGUAGUCUAGUGUAAAGCAUAGGGCUAAAUUCAAACAUGC